rnacentral:ncRNA from 1 species
AACAAAACUUUGACGGAGCCAAGCAUAACCCGAAUCGAUCAGAGAGCCGGUGGUUGGUGCGAACCGGACGAAUUCGAUAUGCGGAGCACUCCUGAGUUGUUGUGCCGAACAUAACAGUAGGCGCAGCCGGCCGGAAACCGUUAUUUUUCCCGGUCUGUUCAUAGCAGACCUCAUGAGGCUGUUGCGCGCGAGCGCACAGCGAAGUAGGGUGGUACCACGAGAAUCAGCUCCUCGUCCCUUGU